rnacentral:misc_RNA from 1 species
UUUUCACGUUACUUGAAGUCGUCUAGCAGUGCUUAACGCUUGUCGAUGAACAAUUUAUCCAAAGAAACGACAAGACGUUUGACCAGUGCACACAAACUCGCUGAAGACCUCCGGAACAUUCACGAGACGCCGUCGGAAGCAGAGACCAAAUACUAUACCAUCGUCAGCCGCUAGCAGCACCUAGCGUGUAGCGAAGUAAACAGAACCAUGGCGACGCAACAACCCUCAGAUCCCAACGCCGACCCUUUCACCUCCAUCUUCUCUCAAACUCACUCCCGUAUCCCAGAUGACACCGUUUUUUUCGCAAUCUUUCCAGACUCCUCUCUCUCCAAUUCCUUCUAUUCUUCUUCUUCUCCUUCCCUUGCUCUCCAAUCCCUUCACCUCGAAAUCCUUCACUUCCUCUCGCCGUACUCUUCCUUUUAUAUCUGGCAACACGAACCCUUCUCUCUCUCCAUCUCCUCUUUCUUAUCUCCUUCUUGCCUCUGCUCCUCCAAGUCUCCUCUCCCCCACCUCCAUGGCAAGCUUCGCUUUGGCGAUAACAUCGAGGACGAAUGGUUCACCGUCUUCCUGCUCUUCCUUAUUUCCCGCCAAUUCCCUUCCCUUUCCAUACGCGUAUGGGACAACGACGGCGAAUUCCUCCUUAUUGAAGCUGCUUUUCACCUCCCUCGAUGGAUUAAUCCCGAGAACAGUGGAAACCGCGUUUUUAUUCGCGGUGGCGAGCUCCAUAUUGUUCCCAAAAGCCGGUUGUCUAAUCCGAACUUAAUCGAUUCGUUGAAAUUUUUGACUUACUAUGAAAGCGAAUCGCGAGCGGCGGACUCUAUUCAAAAAGCGGUGAAGAGCCGAAUUUCGGAUUAUCCGGAAAGAGCGAGACGAAAUAU